AUUGAACGCUGGCGGCAUGCCUUACACAUGCAAGUCGAACGGCAGCGCGGGAGCAAUCCUGGCGGCGAGUGGCGAACGGGUGAGUAAUACAUCGGAACGUGCCCAAUCGUGGGGGAUAACGCAGCUAAAGCUGUGCUAAUACCGCAUACGAUCUACGGUUGAAAGCAGGGGAUCGCCAGACCUUGCGCGAAUGGAGCGGCCGAUGGCAGAUUAGGUAGUUGGUGAGGUAAAGGCUCACCAAGCCUUGGAUCUGUAGCUGGUCUGAGAGGACGACCAGCCACACUGGGACUGAGACACGGCCCAGACUCCUACGGGAGGCAGCAGUGGGGAAUUUUGGACAAUGGGAGAAAGCCUGAUCCAGACAUGCCGCGGGCAGGAUGAAGGCCGUCGGGUUGUGAACUGCUUUUGUACGGAACGAAACGGUCUUUUCGAAUAAAGAAGGCUAAUGACGGUACCGUAAGAAUAAGCACCGGCUAACUACGUGC
rnacentral:rRNA from 1 species